CAAUGUACAGAAUAUUGCUGUAAAUUUCAAAUCUACAAUGGCGGGAUGAUCUUCAACAGUCGAGAUUGGGGUAGUGCGCAAAAUGAAUGAUUCACACCUGUGGUAAGUAACUUAUUACGUAUUUUUUUUCCAUAUUUGGUAACUAUCAUACUGGUAACUUUAUAUAGAGGUAUCUAAAUUCGCGGUUCAUAUUGCUAACCCCGGAUUCAACCUCCAUCCGCGGGGACCGAAGGAGUCUUGCGGGGUUUCAGCAGCGCCGUCGCGGUAAGAUUUCAAACAUUCUCCGUCGCUAUAGCACCUGAGGACAGAAGUUUUUCAUGUUAUUUAGAGUUUUUGUUCACACCAGGAGUGAAGGCGGUAUGUGACGAGCUACAGUUCAUUGUAUUAGUAAGUUGACGGUUGUUUUUUUAAUGUUGAACAUCGCGCCCGCCGUAGACUCGGUAAAAGUUACAUGCUUCGACAGUUGUGAUACCACACUCGCUCGUGAUUAUUUUCUGGUGUAAUUCAAAUUUGCAAAUGCAGUCAUCCGUUAAAUCGAGCGCCCAAAUUAAAAUGAGUCACCAUAGCUUGAGGUAAGUUGAUGUUCACGGAGGAUAGUCCGGUAAAGUGAUUAAUGUACGUAACCAUCUAGAUAUACAGUUUAUGUAUCGGAGGCCAGCUGAGAGCUUGAGCAAAAGACGUUAGCGACACCCUCAUUGUAUAUCAGGCCUGUCUCCCAAAUAGGACCGUUGGAGGGUGGGAGUGAGACCCGUUACAAAAUACUAGUGUGACAAUUUCUUGACCGUGACAUCCCUAACGUUAGUUAGCUUACAUUUCUGUAUAAGUACGGUUUUAAGUGUAAGUUACUCUGUGUAAUUUGCUUAGAGUUUGUUUGUAGAGUCACUUAUACUAAAAUGUAGUUUAAAUGUAAAAUGCUUAAAGAUAAUUGUAUAGUCACUAUUAACUAUUACUAUUGUCACAUGUAUAAUUGUUUGUUUUAGGACACACUUUGCCAUGCAGGCCACUGGAUGCUGACUACUGAAGGUUAGGUUGUGUGUGACGGUGCUCAGCACAGCUUCAUGUCUGGCCUUGUCACUCUGUUCAUAACAUGUUACAUAUUCAGGCUUGAGUACCAGGAUGGGGCAAGCGUGUAUCUUUGAGUCCAAUGAAAGAUAUUAAUCCAGAGAGUGGAACAAGAAGAAGCGUCAUCUAAAAUGCCAGGAUACAGAAGAAACAGGUUGCAGUGAACCCACAUGUCGCCGCUCUUCUAAACACAAUGAUGAAUAUUCAGUGUAAUCGAUGAAAAUUCCAGCUACUUGUUGUGCUCUGAUGGAUCAAGAUGGUGACCGUUUUACAGACUCACUUGGGCCUUGUUUUGCAAUGUUGUUUCAUGAUGGUAAUGUUGGUUAACGUGUUGUUUAAACAGGAAUGUUUAAAGAGCC